rnacentral:rRNA from 1 species
ACGAACGCUGGCGGCGUGCCUAAUACAUGCAAGUAGAACGCUGAAGAGAGGAGCUUGCUCUUCUUGGAUGAGUUGCGAACGGGUGAGUAACGCGUAGGUAACCUGCCUUGUAGCGGGGGAUAACUAUUGGAAACGAUAGCUAAUACCGCAUAACAAUGGAUGACUCAUGUCAUUUAUUUGAAAGGGGCAAUUGCUCCACUACAAGAUGGACCUGCGUUGUAUUAGCUAGUAGGUGAGGUAACGGCUCACCUAGGCGACGAUACAUAGCCGACCUGAGAGGGUGAUCGGCCACACUGGGACUGAGACACGGCCCAGACUCCUACGGGAGGCAGCAGUAGGGAAUCUUCGGCAAUGGGGGCAACCCUGACCGAGCAACGCCGCGUGAGUGAAGAAGGUUUUCGGAUCGUAAAGCUCUGUUGUAAGUCAAGAACGAGUGUGAGAGUGGAAAGUUCACACUGUGACGGUAGCUUACCAGAAAGGGACGGCUAACUACGUGCCAGCAGCCGCGGUAAUACGUAGGUCCCGAGCGUUGUCCGGAUUUAUUGGGCGUAAAGCGAGCGCAGGCGGUUUGAUAAGUCUGAAGUUAAAGGCUGUGGCUCAACCAUAGUUCGCUUUGGAAACUGUCAAACUUGAGUGCAGAAGGGGAGAGUGGAAUUCCAUGUGUAGCGGUGAAAUGCGUAGAUAUAUGGAGGAACACCGGUGGCGAAAGCGGCUCUCUGGUCUGUAACUGACGCUGAGGCUCGAAAGCGUGGGGAGCGAACAGGAUUAGAUACCCUGGUAGUCCACGCCGUAAACGAUGAGUGCUAGGUGUUGGAUCCUUUCCGGGAUUCAGUGCCGCAGCUAACGCAUUAAGCACUCCGCCUGGGGAGUACGACCGCAAGGUUGAAACUCAAAGGAAUUGACGGGGGCCCGCACAAGCGGUGGAGCAUGUGGUUUAAUUCGAAGCAACGCGAAGAACCUUACCAAGUCUUGACAUCCUGCGACGGUGCUGGAAACAGUACUUUCCUUCGGGACGCAGAGACAGGUGGUGCAUGGUUGUCGUCAGCUCGUGUCGUGAGAUGUUGGGUUAAGUCCCGCAACGAGCGCAACCCCUAUUGUUAGUUGCCAUCAUUCAGUUGGGCACUCUAGCGAGACUGCCGGUAAUAAACCGGAGGAAGGUGGGGAUGACGUCAAAUCAUCAUGCCCCUUAUGACCUGGGCUACACACGUGCUACAAUGGUUGGUACAACGAGUUGCGAGUCGGUGACGGCAAGCUAAUCUCUUAAAGCCAAUCUCAGUUCGGAUUGUAGGCUGCAACUCGCCUACAUGAAGUCGGAAUCGCUAGUAAUCGCGGAUCAGCACGCCGCGGUGAAUACGUUCCCGGGCCUUGUACACACCGCCCGUCACACCACGAGAGUUUGUAACACCCGAAGUCGGUGAGGUAACCUUUUAGAGCCAGCCGCCUAAGGUGGGAUAGAUGAUUGGGGUG